rnacentral:rRNA from 1 species
UACGUAGGGGGCAAGCGUUGUCCGGAUUUAUUGGGCGUAAAGAGCGUGUAGGCGGCCAGGUAGGUCAGCUGUGAAAACUCGAGGCUCAACCUCGAGACGCCGGUUGAAACCAUCUGGCUAGAGUCCGGAAGAGGAGAGUGGAAUUCCUGGUGUAGCGGUGAAAUGCGCAGAUAUCAGGAAGAACACCCGUGGCUAAGGCGGCUCUCUAGUACGGUACUGACGCUGAGACGCGAAAGCGUGGGG